rnacentral:lncRNA from 1 species
CAACAUCUGACUCUGGGCUGGCCUGCGUCCACAAGGGGGUUUGGUGGGACUGACAUUGGGCCAGCCCUGGGCCUAGGCCUCAGGGAGACCUGCAGCUUUCUCUCAACGACUUUUGAACCCUGCCUUGGCUAGCCUGCUGGAUGAGGAGAGCCCAGGGCCUGGCUACCCGCUGUCCCAGCCAACAGUCUGCCAACUGCCCCUGCAGGGCUCCUGAGACGCUUGGAAUUUCCUGGGCGACAGGAGCAUCCUUUGUUCUAAUGAGGUGACUCUUCUCGGGCUCCCAGGUGGCUUCUGGAUGGGAGCCCGUCACUGGAAAGACCAAGCCGUGAUUAGAAGCAUGGAACUUUCAGCCCCGCCCCAUCCUCCAGGUGGGCGAGAGGGGCUGGAGACUGAGCAGGUGUUCAGUUAGCCUGCGUGAUGAAGGUUCCAUAAAAGUCCCUAAACCACAGGGUCCGGAGAACUUCCAGUGGGAGAGAGGAGAGGCGGCCAGGAGCCUAUUUCGUGAAUAUGGAAAUGAAAAUGCAGCGUGAUGGAUCCCAGGUCAGCUGUGGGCACUUGUUUUCCAGGAACUGAUGGUGGACCCCUCGUCCAGUCCAGACCAGUUGAGACCACCCACCUAUCAACUGGGCCUGCAAGAAUGAUAGGUGACCUUUGACCUCGAGGUGAAAAUUCUACCUUCAGGUCACACUAACGCCACCAUUCUGUGAACGUGUGUCCCGUGAAGAGCCGGGAAGCUCGACUGCAUUUGCACAGAACAUCGAUUGCCUCCCUCUCCUCACCUCGGUCAUCUGUCCUCACACUUCAAACCACCCUGCCCCCUCUCCCAUAAACAUCCCUCAUCCUUAUUUUUGAGGAGGUGGAUCUGAGACUUGUUCUCUUGUCUCCUUGCUUGGCUGCCUUGUGAAGAAAUCCUUUCUCUGCUGUGAAACUCAGCGUCUCGGUGAUCGGCAUACUGUGCGGCAGGCAGGACGAGCCUGGGUCAGCACAUGAGGGGCGGGUGGACCCAGCAGCCUGCACAUUGCUGUCCGACUGGCUGUAGCCCUGCAAAGAUGUACCAUCUUCCCUAAAAGCCCCACGCAUCUCCCUCUUGUGGUGGGUGUUGGGCCAGCCAGGGGAGUGAGGUUAUUUGUGACUCCAUUUCCCAGGAAUAGGAUACAGGGAUGUCCUACGGAUUCAGUGAGAUGAUGUCGGCAGCUGGCCUUGCACUCAGCACACACUCGAAGACUGUGGCACGUGUUACUGUCCUGAGGGCUCACCGCUCACCAGAUCAGCUCAGCCUCCCGUUAAAACCAGUCUCUCCUGGUUGGAAGAGUUGCGGCAAGUCCUGUUGUGCCUUGAAGUUGAUCAGGGAGCACCUGUCUCUUUGGUCAGUGUCCCAGGGAAGGCCAGGGAAAGGAAAAUGCCCACAGAGGCCAACGGGGGCCACCGUCUGUUUUUGUAAAUAAAGUU